AAUGUUAAUAAUACAUGAAGUGUAUGACUUGUGAAAGUGAAUUUUGCAGUUUUGUUCAACAUUACCUAGUCACUAAUUAUCAUCGUCAAUUAUUGUAAUACUUUAUAAACCAACGGAUCUGAAUGAAUAAAUGUUAUAUUCUAAAUACACUCCCACUCUGUUAGACGACUACUUGAAGACUCACAAUCUCGAAAUAGAAAUUCAUGCUUUAUUUGAUUGGUAACUGAGAGUGAAUCAAUAUUAUAAGGUCAUAAAAAAGUUAUAGUAGCAGCUAGUCCAUACCUAUUUCUGAGCUGUUUUUAACAGUUUUGAGAAGAGCAACAAAUCUUGUUAAUUUGAGUUGGGUUCUACAGUUUUACUACUAUUUUUAGAUUAUUUAUUACACUGGCAAACUGGUCACCAAUGAAAAUAUACAGGUUUUGUUACCGGCUAUAUAUCAUUUAAAGUGGGACUAUACAAUAUAUGUGCAGAGAUUCUACUAACACAAAUGGAUACUUCUAAUUAUCUUUCUAUAAAAUCAUUUGCCAACUUACAUAGUUGUACGGAGUUCUCUCAAGUUUUGAAGCAUUCAUCAAUAAACAGUUUUUGUAUGAUAUAUAAUAUAGAACUUAAUUCUUUACAUCCUGAUAUAUACAUAAAUAAUGAUUAAUAUUUUCAGAUUAAUGGUUAAAGGUGAUGAGUUCUUAUCAUUAUCUUGUAAAAUGUGUUGAGAUUGUUUCCUAUAAUGACAUUGAUGUUCCAUCUGAGGAGAAAGUCAUUGAAUGUGUUAUUAAAUGGGUCAAAAUAUUUUGGAUUGGAGAAAAAUGUACUGCCAGUAUAAAGGAACUCGUGCGUUUGCCAUUAUUAGCAUCAACGACCAAUAUAUAGUAAAUAUUGUGGUUCAAGAACCACUUCUGAAAAAUAAUUUUAUAUGUAAACUUAAUGAUUUUGUACUAGAAACUUUACAAUUUCUUUUGAAGAAUUCAGUUCAGCAUUUCGCUAUUUCAAAAACGAUUCGGUGUUGAGGUUUUGAUGUCACUGUUUAGAAAUGGGUAGCUAGUACAACUACAGAAGUGAUUUGCGAUGGGUAUACUCAAUAAUCGUUUAUAUGAAAUACGAGCGUUUUCAAGACAUUAGAAGUCUGGCAAACUUUAUGAUCCCACACAUGAACUACCUAGUUGAAGAACUGUCUAUAUAUCACAAAGGUGUUAAUAUAGAAGUUUUGGAAGGUGUUAUGUAUGCUAUUAGUGUUAGUGAUGGAUCAACAUUUCUUAACAGUAUUGAGGCCUGAUGACUUAUGAUGGAUUAUGGUCUUUUAUUGCUAAUAAAUUUUCACGAUACAUACCUGGAUUAGUCAAAUGAGAUGUUUUAUUGUAUGUGAUUGACGGAGAGACGAAGAAAUCUGAAGAAUUUGUUAAUACUAUAAAAGUGUACAACCGAACACUAAUACCUGGUCCAUGGAAACAUUGACAAGAAGGAACAUUGACUUCUGUGUGUUUAGUUGAGUAGUCAUUUUUGGGCCACCACAUUUUAUAUCUUAUUUACGUUAAUAAUAGUCUUAUUAUUGUUUGUAAUAAUACACACAUAUGACUAACUUAUGAUUAAACAUGUAUUUUUUUAUAUAUUUUUUUGUUUUUUUUUGUGA